rnacentral:rRNA from 1 species
UCACUGUCACUGGUGUUCGGGUUGUCAUGCCAAUGGCACUGCCCGGUAGCUAAAUGCGGAAGAGAUAAGUGCUGAAAGCAUCUAAGCACGAAACUUGCCCCGAGAUGAGUUCUCCCUGAGACUUUAGGUCUCCUGAAGGAACGUUGAAGACGACGACGUUGAUAGGCCGGGUGUGUAAGCGCAGCGAUGCGUUGAGCUAACCGGUACUAAUGAACCGUGAGGCUUAACCUU